rnacentral:rRNA from 1 species
AUACGGAGGAUCCGAGCGUUAUCCGGAUUUAUUGGGUUUAAAGGGUGCGCAGGCGGGAGAUUAAGUCGGCGGUGAAAUUUUGCAGCUCAACUGUAAAAGUGCCUUCGAAACUGGUUUCCUUGAGUGUAGAUGAAGUAGGCGGAAUUUGUGGUGUAGCGGUGAAAUGCAGAGAUAUCACGAGGAACUCCGAUUGCGCAGGCAGCUUACUAAACUACGACUGACGCUCAGGCACGAAGGCGUGGGGAUCAAACAGGAUUAGAUACCCUGGUAGUCCACGCAGUAAACGAUGAUUACUAGCUGUUUGCGAUACAAUGUAAGCGGCUGAGCGGAAGCGUUAAGUAAUCCACCUGGGGAGUACGUUCGCAAGAAUGAAACUCAAAGGAAUUGACGGGG